UGCGAGGUGUUAAGUUGAUGCGGGAUUUGCACAUCUAAAAAUUAAAUUCCGGGGGCAUGAUGUAGAAACACUUCAACAGCUGGCCGAUGUAACAGAGAAGUCAUCUACAACCAACAGCGCUGUAUGUUACCCUCAGUGGUCAUGGCGGCAAUGGAAACCCUUUCUAGAGAGAUUUUUCAAACCAAUAAUUGGUAUAAGAAAAUUCCAGCACUUCCGGUUCCAGUCGGACUCACCGGUAGUGGUGAUGGCGAGAAUAACAUCUGAAGGCGAGGAACAUUUGAUCCAAGUCUUGAAAGAACCCGGAUUCCGGUUCAGUUCAUGUGUCCGUCCAAGGGUUAUUACGCCCGGAGGAAUGACAGCAGAGCAUUCGGAGCUUCAUUUUUACAAGACAUGAUAAUUCAAGGGAGAUCAAAUGUGAAGUGAAAAAUGAAGGCUUUCCCGAUCUUAGAUUAAAUGUUGAAUAUACUCUUAAUAUAACGUAUUAUCCAAUAGUAACUAUAUCAGAGAAAGAACAGAAAACAGUUUACCUCGGUGAUGAUGUUGACUUGACCUGUAACGUGGACAGCAAUCCCCCAUCAACACUUUCGUGGCAGAAUCAGACCGGCAUUAUUACAGAGAUAUUCGGAGAAAAAUCAAUAAAGCUUUAUUUAACAAACGUUUCGACCGACCAUUCCCAGACAUAUAGUUGCAAGGCCCAUAAUGGAAUUGGUGGAAUUGUAUCAAGAAAUAUAACGCUCAUCGUGACAGAUCCAUCUGAAAGUCAAGUAGCCAAAGCAACUAAACCAUCGGCCAAGUCAAGCUUUGCAUUAGUCGUUGGGCCAAUAAUUGGCUGUAUUUUAGUUAUCUUCAUAGCGGUCAUUGUGACUCUUAUUGUACGCAAGAAAUGACAGAAUGAGACACCAGACAAAAAGAACAUUCAUGAACUUAACAUUGAGGAAAGAAAUGAAAAUUUAUAUCCGACUGGAAACGACCCCAUUCACAAUAAUAUUGCAACAUCUUCUGGAAACGCUGAUGCCACAGAACAGCCAGAAUACGCAUGCGUCAUUCCAAAGAAAGACAGAAGGAAGUUUCCUGUUAUGAAGGAGACAAAUGAUGCAGAAAACAAAAAUAACGAAAGGGGAGACAAUCUGGUGUAUGCAGA